GAAAAAAUUCAGUAAAAUAUGUUUUAACUUUUGGGUUAGUUUUAAUAGAUAAUGUCACUUUUUAUCUCUUUUUUAAACAUACGUCAUUCUUAAUAAAAAAAACUAAAAUGGAAUGUUGAAAUUAGGAGGAAUGUCAGUCGUAUAAAACCCCGUCAAUCCAAUGCCACUUCUCCACCACUCUCCCUUCAAAUUUCUUCAUCCAAAAAAUGACACGUGUCAAAGAAUUCUUCGUCGGAAUGUUAGAUUCCGGCAGGAACAUUGAUUUUUCUAAAAGAAAGAAGAAACUGUACUUGGCCAUUGUUGCCUCAGUCAUUCUUGUUGCUGCAGUCAUCGGAGUAGUCGCCGGAGUAAAAUCCCGUAAAAAUAACUCCGGUGACCAUGUAGACAUAUAUAAUGGGCAUUUCUCUGCAGCUCAUGCCAUAGUAAAGUUGCAUGUAGCAACACUCUACAUCCUGAACUGUGUUACUCUACAAUUGUAAAUGUUACUGAUUUCUCAAAGAAAGUAACAAGCCAAAAGGAUGUGAUUGCAUUGUCCUAGAAUAUCACUAUCAAGUCCGUUCGAAAGAACUUCUAUGCAGUCAAGAAACUCAUCCAAACUAGAAAAGAGAAAUGGUUAGUUUGAGCCAGCCAUGGAGAUCGGAGUGUGCAGGGCAAUGGCAUUAGGCUGAUGGCAAAAUAACAAGAUUCGUCCACGAAUUGGGGUUGGAAUUACGAGUUAUGAACUUCUAUUCGUGCUGAUGAAUUUCAACGAUGUAGAUGUCAAUAUUAACUAUUUUCUCUAACUAGAGUUGCAUUUUCCAUCUUCACCUUUAAAACCUCUUUGCAAAGAUUAUACAGGAUUAUUUCCU